GAUAAUUGAUAAACUUCAGAACCUUAAAAUCAAUUUACCUAAUCGAACAAUAUACCAGAUGACUAUUUUACUACGAACCAUAACCAAAUCAAAAUAAAUUCUCCAGUCAGUCCUUAUACAGUCCAUAUGAAAACCCGAUGAAUUAGAAUGAAGUGCAUAAACAUAUAAAUUAAACUACAUAAAGUACCCUAUUUCCUAAUCAGCUAUACAACCCAAGUAGACAUCAAAUCAUGAAGCCAGGCUUCCUUUCCAUUUUAAUUCAAAGGAUUACAUCAGGGACUUUGAGUGUGUACCUGGAAUGAAGAAUAGACCUAUGAGUAGGCAGUCACAAGAAAAACAACAACAACAAUGAUAAAUAACCCAGAGUUAACGAGAAAAUCAGUGAAUAGACCCCUAAAUCAAUAGAACAGUAAACUCAGCACUUUCAAAACCCAGAAAAUGCAAGUCACACAACCAACACCAAUUUUAAAUAGCCACACUAACUCGAAAUUCACCCCAACAGACAACCCAACAAUUUAACUUUUAGUCCAUGACAAGAAGAAGAAAUCAGAACUGGUUUUUGGAUAAGAAUUUUAAAGUUUUAAGCUCAGAGAAUUGAUUGAAUUAACAACUCUCUCAUUUUCUAUCUUUUUUUCAGCUCUCCUUUU
rnacentral:lncRNA from 1 species